rnacentral:piRNA from 3 species
CACCGCCGCGGCCCGGGUUCGAUUCCCG